rnacentral:rRNA from 1 species
AUACGGAGGAUGCAAGCGUUAUCCGGAUUUAUUGGGUUUAAAGGGUGCGUAGGCGGUUUGCUAAGCGGGAGGUGAAAUGCCGGCGCUCAACGUCGGAAGUGCCUCCCGAACUGGUGGACUUGAAUGACUCUGCCGUGGGAGGAAUGUGUAGUGUAGCGGUGAAAUGCUUAGAGAUUACACAGAACACCGAUUGCGAAGGCAUCUCACGAAGGGUUGAUUGACGCUGAGGCACGAAAGCGUGGGGAUCAAACAGGAUUAGAUACCCUGGUAGUCCACGCAGUAAACGAUGAUGGCUAACCGCUGGGCUUAUCAGUUCAGUGGCCAAGCGAAAGCGAUAAGCCAUCCACCUGGGGAGUACGACCGCAAGGUUGAAACUCAAAUGAAUCGGCGGGG